GUGGGGAAUAUUGGACAAUGGGGGGAUCCCUGAUCCAGCCAUGCCGCGUGUGUGAAGAAGGCCUUUUGGUUGUAAAGCACUUUAAGCGAGGAGGAGGCUACCGAGAUUAAUACUCUUGGAUAGUGGACGUUACUCGCAGAAUAAGCACCGGCUAACUCUGUGCCAGCAGCCGCGGUAAUACAGAGGGUGCAAGCGUUAAUCGGAUUUACUGGGCGUAAAGCGCGCGUAGGUGGCCAAUUAAGUCAAAUGUGAAAUCCCCGAGCUUAACUUGGGAAUUGCAUUCGAUACUGGUUGGCUAGAGUAUGGGAGAGGAUGGUAGAAUUCCAGGUGUAGCGGUGAAAUGCGUAGAGAUCUGGAGGAAUACCGAUGGCGAAGGCAGCCAUCUGGCCUAAUACUGACACUGAGGUGCGAAAGCAUGGGGAGCGAACAGGAUUAGAAACCCCAGUAGUCC
rnacentral:rRNA from 1 species